rnacentral:rRNA from 1 species
UACGUAGGGUCCGAGCGUUGUCCGGAGUUACUGGGCGUAAAGCGCGCGCAGGCGGCUCGUCAAGUCCGGCGUGAAAGCCCCCGGCUCAACCGGGGAGGGUCGUUGGAGACUGGCGAGCUUGAGGGCGGGAGGGGCCGGUGGAAUGCCCGGUGUAGUGGUGAAAUGCGUAGAGAUCGGGCGGAACACCUGUGGCGAAGGCGGCCGGCUGGGCCGACCCUGACGCUGAGGCGCGAAGGCGUGGGGAGCGAACGGG